AACGAACGCUGGCGGCAUGCCUAACACAUGCAAGUCGAACGAGACCUUCGGGUCUAGUGGCGCACGGGUGCGUAACGCGUGGGAACCUGCCCUUAGGUUCGGAAUAACUCCCCGAAAGGGGUGCUAAUACCGGAUAAUGUCUUCGGACCAAAGAUUUAUCGCCUUUGGAUGGGCCCGCGUUGGAUUAGCUAGUUGGUAGGGUAAAAGCCUACCAAGGCGACGAUCCAUAGCUUGUCUGAGAGGAUGAUCAGCCACACUGGGACUGAGACACGGCCCAGACUCCUACGGGAGGCAGCAGUGGGGAAUAUUGGACAAUGGGGGAAAGCCUGAUCCAGCAAUGCCGCGUGAGUGAUGAAGGCCUUAGGGUUGUAAAGCUCUUUUAACCGGGAUGAUAAUGACAGUACCGGGAGAAUAAGCUCCGGCUAACUCCGUG
rnacentral:rRNA from 1 species